CCAUGCUGACCUUUUCAGCAAUGCGCUUGAACGGGUGAUUGGCAGGGAACGACUUGGGACUUCACACAAAAGAAGGAUGCAAAGUGAAGGGCGCUGGAUCUUAUCUUCUCAUCAUCUUUUCAGGAUCCUCACAUCAUUUUUGGCGGGCAGCUGCUUCCUGGCGCCACGGCGAUGAGCAAGUCGUCGCCCGUUUGAGGGAGGAGGGCGUGGGCGAGACUGAGAGGAGACACAACAGAUGAACUUGGAAGAACAAUGACAUGUUCCCAAACAAUAGAGAUGGACACUUUUACUGUAUGGCUUUUUAGAAAGUCUACACACCCCUGCAGAAAUGGAUUAAGUGUGUUCUAUUUCUAUUUCCAACAAUCUUCGAACACUCCUAGCAUCUUUUUUAAAAGUCUCUUUCACGUGUUUUUUUUUUUUCGCGAUGGGAAUGCCGGCAGACAUUGCGAGGGGAAGCACUUCAAAGUCAGUGCAGGCAAAAAGAGCUCUGGGAGAAGAGAAAAAAAGAAAAGAUGAAGAGAGAUGGGAGAUGAAGGGUGAGAGCAGAAAGAGCAUCGCUGAUGAGCUCCACUCGCACUCAGCAGGAGACCUUGGCAUGUUUCUCUAAAAUCCAUGUGUGUACUCUAUAAACGAGUAUUUGUGUAUUUAAUCGGGAUGCAUUGUUUUUAUAAUACAUAAUUAUACUAAGAAGAAAUUACAUUUUGACUUAUCUAGAAGGCACAGUUGGUGUUCUCCAAGGAUCUGUUCCAGGGCCGCAACUUUUUUUUUUCUCUGUUCACGCUGUUGGAACAUAUUUGCAUUCUGCACACAUUUUAUGCUUAGUGUUCAAAUAUUCACAGUAUAUUCAAUCAAUUGAAAAUGUGUGUAAAAUGAAAAAAAAACAUACGUGUGCAGCUUUGAGGACUUCCACUGUUGCCACGUGACUCGGCAUUUUAUCUUAAUUGACUGGAAGGUAAUGCGUGGGAUUGCUCGUGGUGUCAUCAUGCUGCUUCUGACCAAUGGUGACCUCCACGCUUGUUGAUGAGCAUGCUGUUUCUCCUGCACGCACACACACUCGGUAAAAUUGAUUGCACGCAUCAGCGCGCUCGUAAAAUCCUUGCCGCAUUCUCAUUGGCUGAGGCGUUACGGCCUAGCCGCCAAUGAUGGAGCGAGAAAGGGCCUGCUGACAGGCAACCUGGUAAAGACACACGGGAGACGAGUCUGGCGGACAAAGGAGGCGACGUCCAUGGACACACAAAAAAGGUCCAGAAGGAACAAAAUGUCUUAUAUGUGCAAAUUCCAAGGUAGUACUGAAAGAAAUAUUCAGCUACUAAAUUUAUAUUAUUCAUUGUGUUAAAAGCUACAAAAGGACUGCAAAUACUGCUACAUUGUUCUCGUACAACAAUGGCGAGAUGCUAACGAUGCACUCGCGCGCUUCCCGUGUGGUGCCUCGUUGUCUGCGAGUGUCUGCUGUCCGCGACUGUCCGGCGAGCGUCGCUCGGGCGGCAGAAAGGAAAGGCCGCGGCGCACACACGUUUGACUAUUUCCAGAUUCUUCCUGCCUAUUUGGCCUGAGGUCAAAUAGGUCUCACUUUCCCUUUGUUGGACGCCUGCUCACAAGCAGCGCGUGACUCAUUAGCGGGAUUAUGGACUCGUAGUGUUCUCUAUAUUUCGAACAUUACAAAUGUCUUGCCAGAUGCUGACUCAGCAUCCCGGACCUCGGUGCCUGGCGCCGAAUGCGCAAGUUGAACUGGGUUGUUAGUGCGAUCGUAAAUUUGGGCUGGCCGAGUAUUGUAGUGGGAAGGGAUUCUUUUUUUUUUUUUCUUGUUUUACAGAAAUGCUUCAGGCAGGCUAACGAUAAUGCCCCGCCCCCUUUGGACACUAAGUGCCAGGCAGGUCAGUGACUCUCUUGUACGUAGAGAGUCGUCUUGUUUGCUCUGCAGGGGAAAGUGGUGUGUCUCAAAGUGGCCAAUAGGACGUUGAGGCGCGGGGGGCUAAACUGACAUCAAUGGAUGGGAAAACAAUCAUUGUGACCCAGAUAGUGAUGAUGGACGGAGGGUUGAAUGAACUUUGCAGAAUGUUACCAAGGUAGUUUUCCAUGCUGAUUGUGGCUAGACUCAUUCAUAUUAUUUUUCAAGGGGAAUUGAAAUGUAUUUUUUUUGUUCUCUCAGGUGAAUUUGAAUUUAUUAUUUUUGAGUUAUAAACUUACAUGAAGUCAGAAUUUUAAGUAGUUGGUUUAUAUAAAAAAAAAAUACUAAUAAUGUUUUUUCCAUUUUCCCCGCAGCGGAGGGAUUUGGGCGAGCCUUUGAUUUUACCGGCUUAUUAUUAGGACACGUGAAUUCCUGCUUGGACCCCCUAAAAGGAUACAAGAGGAGAAUUAGGAAUGUCAACAAGUCUUCACUCGAGUCACGUGUAAUGCCCCCCCCCCCCAUGAAUUUUGUUCAAUGUUCAGACUUGUUGUCAACAAUGUGGGGCACGGGAAAAGCAGGUGACUAUAGGUCACGUCUUUUCACGUUUGUUAAGAUGACUGCGUUCGACUGAUGAAUAUUUUGUUAAAUAAGCAAAGCACAAUUUUAA